ACGGGAGGCAGCAGUGGGGAAUAUUGGACAAUGGGGGAAACCCUGAUCCAGCGACGCCGCGUGAGUGAAGAAGUAUUUCGGUAUGUAAAGCUCUAUCAGCAGGGAAGAUAAUGACGGUACCUGACUAAGAAGCCCCGGCUAACUACGUGCCAGCAGCCGCGGUAAUACGUAGGGGGCAAGCGUUGUCCGGAAUUACUGGGCGUAAAGGGCGCGUAGGCGGCAUAAUAAGUUAGAUGUGAAAUUCCCGGGCUUAACCCAGGCGUUGCAUUUAAAACUGUUAAGCUUGAGUGCCGGAGAGGAAAGCGGAAUUCCUAGUGUAGCGGUGAAAUGCGUAGAUAUUAGGAGGAACAUCAGUGGCGAAGGCGGCUUUCUGGACGGUAACUGACGCUGAGGCGCGAAAGCGUGGGUAGCAAACAGGAUUAGAUACCCUGGUA
rnacentral:rRNA from 1 species